rnacentral:rRNA from 1 species
GAUGAACGCUGGCGGCGUGCCUAAUACAUGCAAGUCGAGCGAACAGACGAGGAGCUUGCUCCGCUGACGUUAGCGGCGGACGGGUGAGUAACACGUGGAUAACCUACCUAUAAGACUGGGAUAACUUCGGGAAACCGGAUCUAAUACCGGAUAAUAUAUUGAACCGCGGGGUUCAAUAGUGAAAGACGGUUUUGCUGUCACUUAUAGAUGGAUCCGCGCUGCAUUAGCUAGUUGGUAAGGUAACGGCCUACCAAGGCAACGAUGCGUAGCCGACCUGAGAGGGUGAUCGGCCACACUGGAACUGAGACACGGUCCAGACUCCUACGGGAGGCAGCAGUAGGGAAUCUUCGGCAAUGGGCGAAAGCCUGACGCAGCAACGCCGCGUGAGAGAUGAAGGUCUUCGGAUCGUAAAGCUCUGUUAUUAGGGAAGAACAACUGUGUAAGUAACUAUGGCCGUCUUGACGGUACCUAAUCAAAAAGCCCCGGCUAACUACGUG